ACGGAAGGCAGCAGUGAGGAAUAUUGGUCAAUGGACGGAAGUCUGAACCAGCCAAGUCGCGUGAAGGAUGAAGGUUCUAUGGAUUGUAAACUUCUUUUGUCUGAGGGUAAGGUGCGGUACGUGUACCGUUUUGCAAGUAUCAGGCGAAUAAGCAUCGGCUAACUCCGUGCCAGCAGCCGCGGUAAUACGGAGGAUGCGAGCGUUAUCCGGAUUUAUUGGGUUUAAAGGGUGCGUAGGCGGUUUGUUAAGUCAGUGGUGAAAGUGUGUAGCUCAACUAUACCAAGCCAUUGAUACUGGCGAACUUGAGUGUAAACGGGGUAGGCGGAAUAUGACGUGUAGCGGUGAAAUGCUUAGAUAUGUCAUAGAACCCCGAUUGCGAAGGCAGCUUACCAGCAUACAACUGACGCUGAGGCACGAAAGCGUGGGUAUCAAACAGGAUUAGAUACCCUGGUA
rnacentral:rRNA from 1 species